CUGGGUAAAUCGUAUAGCUUAACUAUACGGAUUCUGGGUAGACUGUCAAGCUUGGGACUGGGAGAAGUUAGAGGUACUCCUGGGGUAGAGGUGAAAUUCUGUAAUCCUAGGGGGACCACCAGUGGCGAAAGCGUCUGACUAGAACGGGUCUGACGGUGAGGGACGAAGCCCUGGGGCGCGAACCGGAUUAGAUACCCGGGUAGUCCAGGGUGUAAACGCUGCUUGCUUGAUGUUAGUCGGGCUCCGAGCCCGAUUAGUGUCGGAGAGAAGUUGUUAAGCAAGCUGCCUGGGAAGUACGGCCGCAAGACUGAAACUUAAAGGAAUUGGCGGGGGAGCACAGCAACGGGUGGAGCGUGCGGUUUAAUUGGAUUCAACGCCGGAAAGCUCACCGGAGGCGACGGUUAUAUGAAAGUCAGGCUGAUGACCUUACUCGAUUUUCCGAGAGGUGGUGCAUGGCCGCCGUCAGUUCGUACCGUAAGGCGUUCUGUUAAGUCAGACAACGAACGAGACCCUCAUCUUUAAUUGCUACCUGUAAGUCCGCUUAUAGAGCACAUUAAAGGAACCGCUGGCGAUAAGUCAGAGGAAGGCGAGGGCAACGGUAGGUCAGUAUGCCCUGAAAUCCUCCGGGCUACACGCGCGCUACAAAGAAUAGGACAAUGGGCUUCGACACCGAAAGGUGAAGGUAAUCCCGAAACCUAUUCGUAGUUCGGAUCGAGGGUUGUACUCACCUCGUGAACUGGAUCCGUAGU
rnacentral:rRNA from 1 species